UGGUGGAGGAGGUGAUGGUGGAGAUGGUGGAGGCCCUGGAGUGUAUGGAAGCAAUGAACAUGCAUGAUUCACAAGUGCAAAUUGAGAGGCACAAAGCGGACGAGUGACAAUAGGUGGCUGAGGCACCCAUUGGCUUCUUGAUGAAGAAGAAAAUUGAGAAGGUAUGGAAGCAAUGAACAUGCAUGAUUCACAAGUGCAAAUUGAGAGGCACAAAGCGGACGAGUGACAAUAGGUGGCUGAGACACCCAUUGGCUUCUUGAUCCACUUGCGUGCAGCACUAGGAAAACCACAAUCAAUACUAUCUUUGGUAGGUUGUGUAUGUCCAUCUCCCCGAUUGACAAAGCCUUCUGAAACUUGACGCUUGAAAAAGCAGCUUUCAAGGUCUUUGUUAUAUCCUCAGUAAUAAGUAGUAAGUAGAAGUACCUACCUGCCACCAAUCUAUCUUUUACUUAUAUAAGUAUAACCCUGCAUUCACAAG
rnacentral:lncRNA from 1 species